GAUGAACGCUAGCGGCAGGCUUAACACAUGCAAGUCGAGGGGCAGCGUGAUGAAGUAGCAAUACGGAUUUGACGGCGACCGGCGCACGGGUGCGUAACGCGUAUGUAACCUACCUUUAACAGGGGGAUAACACUGAGAAAUUGGUACUAAUACCCCAUAACACUUCGGAGGGCAUCCUCUGAGGUUGAAAGUUCCGGCGGUUAAAGAUGGACAUGCGUUGUAUUAGCUAGUUGGUGGGGUAACGGCUCACCAAGGCGACGAUACAUAGGGGGACUGAGAGGUUAACCCCCACAUUGGUACUGAGACACGGACCAAACUCCUACGGGAGGCAGCAGUGAGGAAUAUUGGUCAAUGGACGCAAGUCUGAACCAGCCAUGCCGCGUGCAGGAUGACGGCUCUAUGAGUUGUAAACUGCUUUGUAUGAGGGUAAAUUAGGUACGUGUACCUAACUGCAAGUAUCAUACGAAUAAGGAUCGGCUAACUCCGUGCCAGCAGCCGACGG
rnacentral:rRNA from 1 species